rnacentral:rRNA from 1 species
CUUAAAUGAAUUGACGGGGCCGCACAAGCGGUGGAGCAUGUGGUUUAAUUCGACGCAACGCGAAGAACCUUACCAGGGCUUGACAUCCCCUGACCGCGUAUGAAAGUACGUUUUCACCCUCGGGUGACAGGGAGACAGGUGGUGCAUGGUUGUCGUCAGCUCGUGUCGUGAGAUGUUGGGUUAAGUCCCGCAACGAGCGCAACCCCUACGUUUAGUUGCUAACGCGUGAAGGCGAGCACUCUAGACGAACUGCCGUUGGCAAAACGGAGGAAGGUGGGAUGACGUCAAAUCAUCAUGCCCCUUAUGUUCUGGGCUACACACGUGCUACAAUGGCCGGUACAGACGGACGCAAAGCCGCGAGGUGGAGCAAAUCCUAAAAAGCCGGUCUCAGUUCGGAUUGCAGGCUGCAAUUCGCCUGCAUGAAGUCGGAAUCGCUAGUAAUCGCAGGUCAGCAUACUCGCGGUCGAAUACGUUCCGGGCCUU